AUUGAACGCUGGCGGCAUGCUUUACACAUGCAAGUCGAACGGUAACAGGCCGCAAGGUGCUGACGAGUGGCGAACGGGUGAGUAAUGCAUCGGAACGUGCCCAGUCGUGGGGGAUAACUACUCGAAAGAGUAGCUAAUACCGCAUACGAUCUAUGGAUGAAAGCGGGGGACCGUAAGGCCUCGCGCGAUUGGAGCGGCCGAUGUCAGAUUAGGUAGUUGGUGGGGUAAAGGCUCACCAAGGCAACGAUCUGUAGCUGGUCUGAGAGGACGACCAGCCACACUGGGACUGAGACACGGCCCAGACUCCUACGGGAGGCAGCAGUGGGGAAUUUUGGACAAUGGGCGCAAGCCUGAUCCAGCAAUGCCGCGUGCAGGAAGAAGGCCUUCGGGUUGUAAACUGCUUUUGUACGGAACGAAACGGCUCUGGUUAAUACCCGGGGCUAAUGACGGUACCGUAAGAAUAAGCACCGGCUAACUACGUG
rnacentral:rRNA from 1 species